GAUGAACGCUGGCGGCGUGCCUAAUACAUGCAAGUCGAGCGAACAGACGAGGAGCUUGCUCCUCUGGCGUUAGCGGCGGACGGGUGAGUAACACGUGGAUAACCUACCUAUAAGACUGGGAUAACUUCGGGAAACCGGAGCUAAUACCGGAUAAUAUAUUGAACCGCAUGGUUCAAUAGUGAAAGACGGUUUUGCUGGCACUUAUAGAUGGAUCCGCGCCGCAUUAGCUAGUUGGUAAGGUAACGGCUUACCAAGGCAACGAUGCGUAGCCGACCUGAGAGGGUGGUCGGCCACACGGGAACUGAGACACGGUCCAGACUCCUACGGGAGGCAGCAGUAGGGAAUCUUACGCAAUGGGCGAAAGCCUGACGGAGCAACGCCGCGUGAGUGAUGAAGGUCUUCGGAUCGUAAAACUCUGUUAUUAGGGAAGAACAAAUGUGUAAGUAACUAUGCACGUCUUGACGGUACCUAAUCAGAAAGCCACGGCUAACUACGUG
rnacentral:rRNA from 1 species